UACGUAGGGUGCAAGCGUUGUCCGGAAUUAUUGGGCGUAAAGAGCUCGUAGGCGGUCUGUUGCGUCGGCUGUGAAAACCCGGGGCUCAACCCCGGGCCUGCAGCCGAUACGGGCAGACUAGAGUUCGGUAGGGGAGACUGGAAUUCCUGGUGUAGCGGUGAAAUGCGCAGAUAUCAGGAGGAACACCGGUGGCGAAGGCGGGUCUCUGGGCCGAUACUGACGCUGAGACGCGAAAGCGUGGGGAGCAAACAGG
rnacentral:rRNA from 1 species